rnacentral:rRNA from 1 species
GACGAACGCUGGCGGCGUGCUUAACACAUGCAAGUCGAACGGUGAAGCGCCUUCCUUUUUGGUGGGUGUGGAUGAGUGGCGAACGGGUGAGUAACACGUGAGUAACCUGCCCCCUUCUUCUGGAUAACCGCAUGAAAGUGUGGCUAAUACGGGAUAUUCUGGGUCUGUCGCAUGAUGGGUCUGGGACAGAUAUUGUUUCGGUGGGGGAUGGGCUCGCGGCCUAUCAGCUUGUUGGUGGGGUGAUGGCCUACCAAGGCGGUGACGGGUAGCCGGCCUGAGAGGGUGGACGGUCACACUGGGACUGAGACACGGCCCAGACUCCUACGGGAGGCAGCAGUGGGGAAUAUUGCACAAUGGGCGCAAGCCUGAUGCAGCGACGCCGCGUGAGGGAUGGAGGCCUUCGGGUUGUGAACCUCCUUCGCCAGUGAAGCAGGCCUGCCUCGUUUGUGGGUGGGUUGACGGUAGCUGGAUAAGAAGCGCCGGCUAACUACGUG